rnacentral:tRNA from 1 species
GGGCAGUUAGCUCAGCGGGAGAGCAUCGCCCUUACAAGGCGGGGGUCACAGGUUCGAACCCUGUAGCAUCCACCA